UGGGGAAUCUUGGACAAUGGGCGCAAGCCUGAUCCAGCCAUGCCGCGUGAGUGACGAAGGCCUUAGGGUUGUAAAACUCUUUCGCCGGGGAAGAUAAUGACGGUACCCGGAGAAGAAGCUCCGGCUAACUUCGUGCCAGCAGCCGCGGUAAUACGAAGGGAGCUAGCGUUGUUCGGAAUUACUGGGCGUAAAGGGCUCGUAGGCGGCCAACUAAGUCAGACGUGAAAUCCCUCGGCUUAACCGGGGAACUGCGUCUGAUACUGGAUGGCUUGAGGUUGGGAGAGGGAUGCGGAAUUCCAGGUGUAGCGGUGAAAUGCGUAGAUAUCUGGAGGAACACCGGUGGCGAAGGCGACAUCCUGGACCAAUUCUGACGCUGAGGAGCGAAAGCCAGGGGAGCAAACGGGAUUAGAUACCCACGUAGUCCCUGAGCGGGCUGGCAAGGCGCAU
rnacentral:rRNA from 1 species